CUGUCAGCGCGAGCGGCCGGCCGUGGAGCUAGGCCGGCGCGGCAGGUCCACCCGCGCUCCCCGGUGUACACGGCGGUCGGAGCGCAGGCCGCCUCCUGCCGGGAAACUCGGGUUCCCGAAGAGACGGCUGCCCGCGGCCCCCGAGGUGUGCUGCGGAGCGCGGGGAAGAGGCGGCGCCGGCCGGUCCCGGCCCCGGGCGCGGCGGGCGGACGCGUCCAGCUGGGUCAUUUUGUCGUUGCUCUCCCGGCGGUCCCCUCUCUCUCGAGGGGGGAGGGGUGUCGGGGUGAAGGGAAGGACGGGGCUGCGAGCUUGCGAUUUCCUGGCGGCGCGCUCUUAGAAGAAGACUUUUUCCUUCUCCGGUCCUUGAAACACAGCGUCUCAAGGAAAAGUAGCGUGGAACUUGGUGUUUCCUGCGGACGAGCCUUUGCACCUACGAUUUAACGGCAAUUUUGCAGUCCGCAACUUUUCUUUGGAACUCUUGACGCGAGGCGGAAGAAAGCGGAGUUGUCUUUCCUUUGGGGGGUUCGUGUCUUUUUUUUCCCCCUCCCCGUUGGCUGUUGGCUUUUUGUCAACCCAGAUUCGACAGCUCUUGAAUUUAGAUUUUAACCUUUAGAAGACAGCCAAUUCUGGAAAACAACCAAAGUUUCUUUGAUUGAAUACCCACGUAAUGCAUUGGAAUAUGAUAGGAGAUUAAGGUUUAACUGAUAAAGUGAAGAUAUUACUAAAAUGGCCCUCUAAGUAUUCCAACAAUUAUUAUUUUUGCUAGAGAUGAAAACCAGAGCCUUACAAGAACCUAGACAAGCACUUUGUCUCCCUAACCCUUAAUCUGUGGAAUGUGGAUGUCCUAGAAGUUGUGGCAUAAUGUAUCAACUCUGGUCUGCUGUGCUACUCCAGAGGAAAAUUUACCUAUCUUAAUUCUCUUCAGGGAGCUGGAGAGACAGCUUAGCGAUUAAAAAUACUGGCUGCUCUUCCAGAGGUCCCAGGUUCUAUUCCCUAUAGAUACACACACCCAGGUAAAACACCAGCCCACAGUGAGCGAGCGAGCGAGUGAGCAAGCUUGUUUAAAAAAUUAGUUUCUUUAAAGGGAAAUGUUUCCUGGGAAAAAGUGUAUGUAUGCCACAAGUGAAAAAAGUAGUUGCUUGUUUUGGAGUUGACUGGUUGACUAGUAAUAAAAGCUGUCAGCUACUAUCGUAAUUGUGGGCAGAGAAGGAUGCCUUAUACCUACUGAUAGGAUGGCUGUUGAUUUAGGAAGUAUAUGAAUUCAAUGUCCUGAAGGUUAUAUAUUACUUUAUAAUUCAUGAGUUCAUUGUAUUCUCUAAUUUUUUUAAUUGUUGAAGUUUUGAGAAUUAUCAAAGGUUAUUCUUUGUUCUCAAAGCCUUUAAUAUUUGAUGUUUAAGUAUUUAAUAGAAUGAUUAUGCUGAAACUGUGCCUUUAUGCUUAAGCCAUGGUGAUAUUUCUAUUCUCAACAAAAUAAUAACCAUGGAGUUUAUUAAGUUCUGUUGCAAAAUAUGAAUAUGAACUCUUUUCCCCCCACUUUGAGCGAUGUUUCACCUUCUAAUUAGAUUCAGUUAUUAGCAUUUAUGUAUGAGGUUACCUUGCAUCUUAGAAAAGUUAAAGGCUCGGUUAGUCCAGUGCUUCCCUAGAAAGUGUGACACUCUGGGUUUGAUGUCCUGCAAUAAGUAGACUGGGUGCCGCGGAGCAUCCCUGCAAUCCCCGAGAUGGGCUGGAGAGCAGGAAGGACGGAGACUAUGGUCAUCCUUGACAAGUGAGUGAAAUUCAGGACAGCCCUGCUUAUAUGAUCCCUUGUAUGGGGGGGGGAUGGUAAAAUUAAAACAGAAUUUUGGUGGGGUGUAUAAUCAUUUUUUGUGUGUCUGAGACAGCUUAUCUCUGUGAAACCCUACUUGGCCUUGAAUCUGUAGUAAUCUUUUACCUCCAUCUCUAGAGUGCCAAAAUUAUAGUCAUAUUCCACUCACAACACUUAGCCACCCUCUGAGGCAUGAAGAUUGCAAGUUUUCAGCCAACAUGAACUACAGAGUGAGACCCUGUCUCAGGAACACAUUAACAAAGAAAAAUUCCAGAAAGUUCCAAAAUGGAAAAAAAAAGUGGGGUCUGAAGAAGUGGCUCAGUGAAUGAAGGAGUUGCUACUACACAGUAGCACAUAGUAGCAUCAAACAAGACUGUGUUUCAAAGAAGGUAGAAGUUUAGGGAAAAAUAUAUAUAUAUAUAAAAUCAUAAAUACUACACAUUUAAGGGGGUGACUUGAGAAGUGGCUUAGUGGGUAAGAACUUUCUGCUCUUGCAGAGGACCCAACUUCCCUUCCCAGCGAGCACACACAUCAGGCUCUUAUACCUCCUAUAGCUGUAGGUUCAAGGGAUUAGACACCUUAUUCUGGCCUGCUAAAGCACUGUUCAUACAUGGCACAUAUGUAGACACACAGACACAUAUAAGUAAGAGCUGGGUAAUGAUGAAGUGCUUGUGACGUAAGCACGAGGGCCUAAAUUCAAUCUCUCAGCAGGUAAAGAAUGUGGUGGUAACUCACACCUUUACUCUAAAUUACUCCAGAAAUUAUAAAAGUAGAAGAUUCCAAUAUAUGUUUCAGAAUAAAUCUUUUAAAAUUUGCAUAAGUGAAGUUAAACAGAAAGUUUUCUUUAAUUGUACGAUAAAACAAAUUCAGUAGACAGGGUAGAAAGUUAAGUUCUUAGGACUAAGGUAAGAGGAAUGGACAGUUGGUGUUUAAUGAUUAAGGUAUCAGUUGGAAAAGAGUUACAAUGUUUGCAAUAUGAAUGUACUUGAUGCUACAAAAAUGUAACCCCUUAAAGUACAUACAUUGCUAAACUUUGUUACAUAUGGUAGAAUAGUUUUUAGAAAUAAGAGCAUAUCUUAAUGUGAUUUUUAUAAGCAUGACUGUGAAUACUCUUUCUGUUUCAAGAUUAGCUGUCUUGGCUUAAAAAAAAAAUAGAGGUUUUGCACACAAAAGAUUGACUUGAUUCUGAAAUCAUUCAACAUUGGGAUAGUUAUUUAAUGUCUAUGUGUACUGUAUAGGAACAAAGAAUGAAUAGUUAAUUCAUGAUGUUGUCUCUUAUAAUUUAGGUCAUUCUAGAGUCCUUCUAAAACAAAAACUAUAUGUUGUACAUCACUGUAGCAACUAUAGUGUAACAAAUGGGAAAGUGGUUACAUAGAGUAGGUGUAGAGUAAAAUAUUUAAGUGAAAAUACCCAUGUAUGGUUUAAAACAUGUUUAAAAUUUAACUAGACAGUAGAUUUGAAGGGAACCUAAACUUUCAUGUAACUGAUUGUGCUGGUUAGUUUAGCAACUUACAUACAGACAUCUAGAAAGAGGGGAUCUCAAUUGAGGAUUCUUCUAUCAGAUUGUCCUAUGGACAUAUCUAGAUGGCAUUUUCUUGACUAAUCCUUGAUGUGGGAGGACCCAACCCACUGGGCAGCAUCACCCCUGAGCAGAUGGUCCUGUGUGGUGGUGUAAGAGAGCAAGCAGUACAAGCCAGUAUGCAACACCCUCUACAGUCUGUGCUUCAGUUCUUGCUUCCUGCUUCCUCAUUUUAAUUCCUGCCCUUCAUAAUGGACAUUAGGUUGUAAAAUGAAAUAAACCCUUUCCUUCCCAGGUUGUUUUGAUCAUAUUUUUCACAACAAUGGAAAACAAACUAGCACACUGUAAAUUCAAGUAUAUGUUGAUAUAUCUUAAAUAGACGUUAAAAAUUGUGUUAAAACUUGUAUGCAAUAAUAGAGAAAUGGGUGAAACCAUAGUUACUUAUUCAUAAAUUAUCUACAUACAUUUUAAUAAUAGAGAAAAGACAAAACUUAAAUGGAAUAUGGCUGUGCUUCCUGUAAACAAUUAGAACAGAAUGUAAUUUUUAUUGUAUAAAUUCAUCCUAUCUUAUAAAAUGAUAUGCCUUUAAUGAAAUAGCCUUUUUAAUGAGAAACAUACAAAUGGCUAUUUAGGCUGGAGCUAGUAGGAUUCCUGUUCUUUGACCUGUUAUCCUAAGAAGAUGUUCUGGGUUAAUAGAUAAUAAAUGACGCUGAACUUA